GACGAACGCUGGCGGCGUGCUUAACACAUGCAAGUCGAACGGAAAGGCCCUGCUUUUGUGGGGUGCUCGAGUGGCGAACGGGUGAGUAACACUUGAGUAACCAGCCCUUGACUUUGGGAUAACUUCAGGAAACUGGGGCUAAUACCGGAUAGGAGCUCCUGCUGCAUGGUGGGGGUUGGAAAGUUUCGGCGGUUGGGGAUGGACUCGCGGCUUAUCAGCUUGUUGGUGGGGUAGUGGCUUACCAAGGCUUUGACGGGUAGCCGGCCUGAGAGGGUGACCGGCCACAUUGGGACUGAGAUACGGACCAGACUCCUACGGGAGGCAGCAGUGGGGAAUAUUGAACAAUGGGCGGAAGCCUGAUGCAGCAACGCCGCGUGCGGGAUGACGGACUUCGGGUUGUAAACCGCUUUCGCCUGUGACGAAGCGUGAGUGACGGUAAUGGGUAAAGAAGCACCGGCUAACUACGUG
rnacentral:rRNA from 1 species